AGCAUGAUUGCUGGAUCACAUGGUAAGAGCAUGCUUAGCUUUAUAAGAAACCACUAGACUGUGUUCCAAAGUGGCUGUACCAUUUUGUAUUCCCACCAGCAAU
rnacentral:pre_miRNA from 1 species